rnacentral:lncRNA from 1 species
GGUUGCUGCUGCUGCAGUUUUUUAAGAGGAAUCGUAAUGGUUAAGCUUAUGUUUGGAUUUGUUGGGAAGACUAAUUGGCUGGACAGGAAAUCCUUUUCUGAACUGCAGCACCUGUGAUCCUUGGCCAAAAUGGACAUGUUCUGCCAAGGAAAAUGAGAGUUGUAGUCCAAAACAAGUGAAACUUUUCCAAAUAUGGAACAUGACCGUAUAGAUCUACUGGGUCGUAGGCCAGGAAAUCCAUCCCUUUGGGACACCCGGACUUUCCAAUGCAUCCAGUGAUCCAUGGAAAUAAACACCUAACCCCAAGAUAUUUGGCCUGACGCAGCACCCAACCGCAGAUCGAAGCUUGCUGAACUGUCUGGAGAACGCUGGACCCAUUUUAUAAAAGCAGCCUCUUCAGGACAGAUCAAGCAACUUGACUAAGCCAGAGGCCGAGUGAAGAAAAUGGCGUUAUGCCUAUCUUUAGAAGGCAGAACAUGCAAAGAUUCCAAAAAUGCAGUUUCUGGGCACAUUCCCACAAGGGUUUGAGCAACUGGGCCACGGGCUGCAGUGAGGUGAGGACUCCGAGAGACCUUCCAGUAGUGUGAACAGCAACAAAAGGCAAGUUGCUCUUUACUUCCGCAUCCCUCCUACUACGAGGC